rnacentral:lncRNA from 10 species
GUCUAGAGUCCCUAUGUGCUUCUGGAUCUGGCAUACCACAGAUAGUACAGAGGCUUUUAAAUCCCUGUGGGAGUUUAUCAAAGUCUGACAGUUGAUAUCCAAGCUUGCAUAAACAGCAGUUGCAUUUUUUUUUCAAUGCUGAACUUAAUAAAAGCUGAGACAGAGGAUAAGAUAUGUAACAUUUUGUAAUGACUGCUGAAAUUCCAUAACCUGAGUGCUGACAGGGCUGGUGAAGAAAGUAGAGAGGAUCCAGCAUCACAAGUCCUGGUGGAUCAUUACAAGAAUGGACGACCAGCGACCCAAUGUGGCAAAGCCAAUUGUUGCACCUGGGGCCACAGAAGAAAUUCUUGAUGCUUGGAUAUUACAAAUGAUUUUUGAAAGCCUCUUUAUUUUUGUAAACUGGAUUCGGAAUCAACCACUGAGCACCUACUCUGGGCUAGAUAAAUUUAUAUACCUGUUACUUCAACAUCUUUUGUUUUUAGGUUGACAUACCUGAUAUAUUGGUUCAGGGGGAAAAUUGCAAGCAUUGAUAGUUUUGAUAUGCUGUGCCUUUGAGAACUGAAAUAACAGACAAUAACCUUGAGUUGUUGCAGUUUAAUCUGACUAGUUAUUGACAACAUUAAUAUAGGCUGAGCCAAGACUUUAGAGAAAACAUGUUAGACAACAGGGGAGAAAUAUCACUACUCAAAAAACCCCAACCCUCAUAUAUUUUAUAUUUCAUAAAGCAGAUUUUGCUGGGUUAGUACUUUUGUUUUAAUGUACUUUCAACUAGUUUUCCUAAGAAUUGAAGAUUGGGAGGCCGAGGCAGG